GGCUCGGUGGUGGGCGGCCCACAUUUGCUCCACCUUACAGGUUUCUGGUUUCUGUAGCAUGAAGUAAAAGGCGCCGGUUCGACUCCGGCCUAAGCCA